rnacentral:misc_RNA from 1 species
GAUGAAGAACGCAGUGAAAUGCGAUAAGUAGUGUGAAUUGCAGAAUUCAGUGAAUCAUCGAAUCUUUGAACGCACAUUGCGCCCCUUGGUAUUCCGAGGGGCAUGCCUGUUCGAGCGUCAUUAUAACCCCUCAAGCUCAGCUUGGUGUUGGGGCCUGCUGCACUGGCAGCCCUUAAAAUCAGUGGCGGCGCCAUCUGGCUCUAAGCGUAGUAAUUCUUCUCGCUAUGGAGUCCUGGUGGAUGCUUGCCAUCAACCCCCAAUUUUUCUAUGGUUGACCUCGGAUCAGGUAGGGAUACCCGCUGAACUUAAGCAUAUCAAUAAGCGGAGGA